rnacentral:rRNA from 1 species
UACGUAGGUGGCAAGCGUUGUCCGGAUUUACUGGGCGUAAAGAGCGCGCAGGCGGUCGGAUAAGUCGAAUGUGAAAGCCCCCGGCUCAACUGGGGAGGGUCAUUCGAUACUGUUCGACUCGAAGGCAGGAGAGGGAAGUGGAAUUCCCGGUGUAGUGGUGAAAUGCGUAGAUAUCUGGAGGAACACCGGUGGCGAAGGCGGCAUCCUGGACCGAGAUUGACGCUGAGGCGCGAAAGCCAGGGGAGCAAACGGG